UUGUAUGCAAAUAUUUAUACUAAUAGCAUAAUAUACAGUAUACUUCGUGUAACCCGGCCUUAAACCUGUAGAUGAGAUAAAUGGAUAACCGCUAUGCAAUACUAGAUAGUUUGAUUUCGUGACCUGGUACAUUGCGAUACAAUACGCAAUACAAUAGAACCACAAUUCUAUACGAGUGUUACAAUCGCAUGCCACGAUAAGGCAAUUGAACUUCUAUUGUUAUGUGCAAUAAUGAUUUCGAUACAUACGAUUAUCAUGAUUCUCUAAAACGGAUAUAUCUAAUUUCAAUCGUGAAUGAUAAAAUUGACAUGAUAAUUCUACAUGUACUAUUUUUUCUAUUAUCGUACAUCAUAUAACAUAAAAAAAUAUCGAAAUAAGAAUCAUUUUACGCUCAUUAAAUACUUAAUUGAAUUCAUAAAAUUAAGAAAAAAAAAUAUGAUUUCGUUCAAAUGAAUUUCAUGUUUGUGGGGUAAUUGCUUGGUGUUAAUAGUAUCAUAAAUUAAACUAAUCAGAUCAAAAGUAAAAGGUUUUCAUAAUUUACGAUUCAUAGUAUGUUCAAUGAUGAUAAACUUGUUUAUGUUUCAUUCAUUGAUUUAUUUUUUUUAAUACGGAAAAAUUAAAAAUAUAAAUUUUAAUUUGUUAUUCAAAUUUGAAUUCUAAAAAUAAUGUUUUCUUUUCAACAAUAGAAUGCGAAUUGUGCCUUUUUUUAAAUCGUCAAUAAAUAUAGAAGCACAAAUACAAAGCAAAUGACUUUUUUAUUCAAAAAAAAAACUUAGUUUCCAUUUCUUGAAAAGAUUAUGAUAUAUAUAAAUAGCGUAUUAUUGCUUUACAACUUUAAAGGCUAAUUGAAAAUAUGAAUAUUAAUCAUUUUGUUACGAGUUAUAACUGUAAAUUGAAAUCUCAGAUAUAUUCUCAUUCGUGUUGUGGGCGUACAAGACAUACGGUUUCCAUAUAAAUGAUUUCUGUGAAAUAUGACACGAUUUUGUCGUGCAUCUCAUGACCUCGCUCUUUUCAGUGUAAGUUUUAGUAAUACUCAUCUUACGGAUUUCAUAAUAGAUAAAAUUCUUAAAUCACAUAACCAAAUUUAUCAUGAAAUUAAUCAUCGAAUUAGAAAAGUCCAAAAUACGAAUCAAAUCUUUUCAAAAUGAUUCAUAACGCAUUCUUUUUACGAAGUAUUGAAAUACUUAUAUUUACAUUAUUCUAUAAAUAGUGUUACGAGAUGAGUAAGUAUAUUCAUUUUUCUCAUUUGAAUCAUUAACCUUGAAAAAGAAACUUCUCUAGAGAAAGUUCGUGCCAAUAUGCACGAACGAUAUGCGUAGCAAUAUCUAUGCAUGUAGUUAUUUCCUUACGCCUCGUUUCUAUAUCGAUCGUUUGUUUAAAUCUCGUGAUUUUCAAACUUUCAAUUUUAAAAAAGCACUAUAAACUAGUAAUAUCUAUAACAUUGAUUAAUCAACAAUUUAACAGAUGAAUAAUAUCGAAUUGGAAGAUUUUUUAAAUAUCAAUCAAAAAAAAUUUUAUCGCAUUUCUAUAUCUAUACAAAAUUUGAUAAAUAAAUAUUAAUGAUAAAUUAGUGGCGCCAAUUUGCACAUGCAGUUCUUUAUUAAUCGUGUAUACGAUAAUGGAAUUCGAACAUCGCGUAUCGAGGAUCUAUGAUUUAAUUAUGAAGUAUUAUAAUAACGGCGUGUUCGCACAUGGAAAGUGCGUAUCGAGCGUCGAAUCUUUGAUGAGGCGCGGUUAUUUAGGCUUCGUUUUCACUAGGAUUGUAGGCCAGAAAAUGGCACGAUCGUGUGGUUGUUUCAUUGCGUGUAGAUACGAAUCUUUCGCCUUUUACACUCGCUUUGAAUAAGAAAAGUCACGGUACAAUAAGCAUAAACGUGUUAUUUCAAAAUAUCGUCAUACCAGUCAGAUGUAGUUCUGCGACCUGCAGUUGAAUAUAAAUACAUUAUUGAAUGAGAGAAAAGGCGCGAGUGAUUUUAAUCGGUUUUAAAUCGUGUGACGAGGUUACAUCAUCUUGUUUAUACAUACGUUUACAUGGAACGUACAAAUAAAGACUUCAUGAAAUAUAACAAAAAUAAAUAGUAAAGAAUGAAUAUAAAUAUAUGUAUUUUCCGACAUGAGUAAGAGCAUUGUUAAUGAGGUCACUGUAUUUUGAGAUAUGACUAUUUAUUUGUGAAAGUUGAUAAGUUUUCUGAACAACAAUACAGUAUUUUUUGCUAGAAAAUAUUCGACAAAGUAAAAAAACCAUCGAUACUUUAGCAAGUACUUCAAGUUAAGAAUUCGUGUGAACGUAUGUGCGGAGAGUAGACGCGAUCAAGUCGAAGGACGAUUGAAAGGAGAACGGCUACACUCGCCCCAUUAUUUAUAUACAACUUCGUUGCUUAAGCUUGGCACGCGCGACUUCUCGCUCCUUUCGUGUAUGUACACCCGUUAGAAUUCAGCCAGACACUUCCUGCUGUCUCGAUCGUGAAAGUACCAAACGAGUUUUAUGAAAAUACUAGUAUUGGCAUAUAAAUGGUUUCGAAUUACGUCAAUAGAUCGAUGAAUUGGCCAACAACUGAAAAUAUCGAAUCCGGAUGGUAUCAACACCGGAUAUUAUAAGACGUAUGAUCAAGUUCCGUUAAAAGAUCUAGAAUGACAUUGAUCGAAUAAAUCACCAUAAUUUUAUUAAAUAUCGAUGAAUUUCCAAUGAAUUUUAUUACUAUUAUUACACGCAAAAAGUUUAUUAUGUUCUUUAAAAAAAGCAUUAAAGACUGAUGUAACGGUUCGAAGAAAGAUUGUAUUAGUAUGAAAUUAAAUAUAUGAUGCGAAGUAACAUACUUCCAUUGACAUUUAGUCACGUAGCACUUACCACAAGUAUUCAUGCAUAUGCUGUUAAUAACGCAAUAAUUAAUAGCGUUGAUCAAUAAAUCGUUGAAUCUGAAAAAUAUUUACUCGUAUAAAAACAGAUUUAUUAUGUACAAUCAAGAAUUAACAGUUUUUAAAAAUAACUUUAACAUAUUUAAAUCAUAUUAAUUAGUAGUAUUACAGAAAAAAACGCAAUCUAAUAUAAUUUUCUUUUCUAUAUAUAUAUCAAACCAUGAUAAUUAAGAGGCGGAACCUAAAGUGCAAGUGAACUUUAGUAAUCUAUAAUUAAAAUGACGCGUGUGCGUCUAGCAAUGAAAAAUCAAACCGUAUGUCAAGAAAGGAAUCGCAAGAAAGUCAGCACAAUUAAUGUAUUCAAAUAGCGUAACCACGCCUUAAUUUAUAUUCGCUCUCGGAUUUCGAAGGUCUGGAGCUUUGUCGAUUCCAUCGCGGACACACCCACGGAAUUAUUCCAGUUACGACAUUUGCCACUGAUACAACCCUUUUCAAGAAUAUCCCGCGGUGUUGCCAGUCAGAAUAUUUCACUCAUUCUUCCUAGGAAAUAUAAUAUUUUGCUGAAUAAGACUAUCGUGAGCCAAAAUUUAUGCGCACUUUGUGUAGCCAUAAUAUAUUUUAUAACACGAAUAGAGUGCUAAGAUUUAAGAAUUUGAUAGAUGUAUCAUUUGUUGAAUUGAACAAAAAAUAUUCAAUGCAUAAAAUAGAUUUAUAAUUUGAAAGGAUAUUUCUAAUUUUAUUAAAUUUUCUUUUUUUAAGAAAAUAAUGAUAAGAUCAUAAAUCAAUUCGUAAAUAUUUUGUUCGAAAAAAGAAAUAAUAUCAUACUUAUAUAGAUGUUCGAGACGAAGAUAGCGGAACUUAGUAAUAUUACGAAGAGAAACUGGAGUAAAGUGGAGAAACUUAUUAUCUUUUUAUACGGAGUUUGAAAAAA